AUACGUAGGGGGCGAGCGUUGUCCGGAAUGAUUGGGCGUAAAGGGCGCGUAGGCGGCCCGGUAAGUCUGGAGUGAAAGUCCUGUUUUUAAGAUGGGAAUUGCUUUGGAUACUGUCGGGCUUGAGUGCAGGAGAGGUAAGUGGAAUUCCCAGUGUAGCGGUGAAAUGCGUAGAGAUUGGGAGGAACACCAGUGGCGAAGGCGACUUACUGGACUGUAACUGACGCUGAGGCGCGAAAGUGUGGGGAGCAAACAGGAGUAUAUACCCUGGUAGUCCACACUGUAAACGAUGAAUGCUAGGUGUAGGGGGUAUCGACCCCUUCUGUGCCGCAGUCAACACAAUAAGCAUUCCGCCUGGGGAGUACGGCCGCAAGGUUGAAACUCAAAGGAAUUGACGGGG
rnacentral:rRNA from 1 species